rnacentral:rRNA from 1 species
CCUACGGGAGGCAGCAGUGAGGAAUAUUGGUCAAUGGACGCAAGUCUGAACCAGCCAUGCCGCGUGCAGGAAGACGGCUCUAUGAGUUGUAAACUGCUUUUGUACGAGGGUAAACGCAGAUACGUGUAUCUGGCUGAAAGUAACGUACGAAUAAGGAUCGGCUAACUCCGUGCCAGCAGCCGCGGGAAUACGGAGGAUUCAAGCGUUAUCCGGAUUUAUUGGGUUUAAAGGGUGCGUAGGCGGUCGGAUAAGUUAGAGGUGAAAUCCCGAGGCUCAACUUCGGAAUUGCCUCUGAUACUGUUCGGCUAGAGAGUAGUUGCGGUAGGCGGAAUGUAUGGUGUAGCGGUGAAAUGCUUAGAGAUCAUACAGAACACCGAUUGCGAAGGCAGCUUACCAAGCUACUUCUGACGUUGAGGCACGAAAGCGUGGGGAGCAAACAGGAUUAGAUACCCUAGUAGUC